rnacentral:rRNA from 1 species
CAAUAGCGUAUAUUAAAGUUGUUGCAGUUAAAAAGCUCGUAGUUGAAUUUUUGCUUGCCGCCGAUGUCGGAACUUCCGUACGUUCGGCGGCGUGCAUCCUUGGGUGGAACCUGUGUGGCAUUAGGUUGUCGUGCAGGGGAUGCUCAUCGUUUACUGUGAAAAAAUUAGAGUGUUCAAAGCAGGCUUACGCCGUUGAAUAUAUUAGCAUGGAAUAAUAAGAUAGGACCUUGGUACUAUUUUGUUGGUUUGCGCACCGAGGUAAUGAUUGACAGGGACAGUUGGGGGUAUUCGUAUUCCAUUGUCAGAGGUGAAAUUCUUGGAUUUCUGGAAGACGAACUACUGCGAAAGCAUUUACCAAGGAUGUUUUCAUUAA